rnacentral:rRNA from 1 species
GACGAACCGUGCGAACGUUGUUCGGAUUCACUGGGCUUAAAGGGCGCGUAGGCGGCUUGCCAAGUCAGGGGUGAAAUCUUUCGGCUUAACCGGAAAAGUGCUUCUGAUACUGGCGAGCUGGAGGGAGGUAGGGGCAGAUGGAACUUCCGGUGGAGCGGUGAAAUGCGUAGAUAUCGGAAGGAACGCCCGUGGCGAAAGCGAGGUCCUGGACGCCAACUGACGCUGAGACGCGAAAGCCAGGGGAGCGAACGGG